rnacentral:ncRNA from 2 species
GGAAGGACAGUACAGAUAAAGUAGCUGGGAUGCUGAAUUAGAAACAGAUAUGCAAAAUGCAAGUACAUUUUAUAUUUUAUGCCUACCUUCAAUUCAGUUUCUUAAUUUAUAAUAGAUUGCCAGAAGGGCAAAUGCAGGCACAGUUGGAAAUAGUAGACUGACCUGAACUGACAUCAAAUUCUGUAAGUCUCUAUACUUUAGAGCUGGAGUUGAAGGAAUAUUGUGGAGGUCAUUAACAUAGAAUUUUAUUGAUGUGUAAUAUAUUUAUAAGGACCAUCUCUGAAUUAACACAAUUUUCUUUUUCAGAGUCCUUAUAGGACAGUUCUUCGAGAUAAUGCAAUACCAACAAUAUUUGAUCUUACCAGUCAUUUGAACAACCCACAUAGUAGACACAGAAAACGAAUAAAAGAACUGAGUGAAGAUGAAAUCAGGACACUGAAACAGAAAAAAAUUGAUGAAACUUCUGAGCAGGAACAAAAACAUAAAGAAACCAACAAUAGCAAUGCUCAGAACCCCAGCGAAGAAGAGGGUGAAGGGCAAGAUGAGGACAUUUUACCUCUAACCCUUGAAGAGAAGGAAAACAAAGAAUACCUAAAAUCUCUAUUUGAAAUCUUGAUUCUG